rnacentral:rRNA from 1 species
UACGUAGGGUGCAAGCGUUGUCCGGAAUUAUUGGGCGUAAAGAGCUCGUAGGCGGUCUGUCGCGUCGGAUGUGAAAAUCCAGGGCUCAACCCUGGACCUGCAUUCGAUACGGGCAGACUAGAGUUCGGCAGGGGAGACUGGAAUUCCUGGUGUAGCGGUGAAGUGCGCAGAUAUCAGGAAGAACACCCGUGGCGAAGGCGGCUCUCUGGGACGGUACUGACGCUGAGACGCGAAAGCGUGGGGAGCGAACAGG